UGGGGAAUUUUGGACAAUGGGCGCAAGCCUGAUCCAGCAAUGCCGCGUGCAGGAUGAAGGCCUUCGGGUUGUAAACUGCUUUUGUACGGAACGAAACGGCUCUGGUUAAUACCUGGGGCUAAUGACGGUACCGUAAGAAUAAGCACCGGCUAACUACGUGCCAGCAGCCGCGGUAAUACGUAGGGUGCGAGCGUUAAUCGGAAUUACUGGGCGUAAAGCGUGCGCAGGCGGUGAUGUAAGACAGAUGUGAAAUCCCCGGGCUCAACCUGGGAACUGCAUUUGUGACUGUAUAGCUAGAGUACGGCAGAGGGGGAUGGAAUUCCGCGUGUAGCAGUGAGAUGCGUAGAUAUGCGGAGGAACACCGAUGGCGAAGGCAAUCCCCUGGGCCUGUACUGACGCUCAUGCACGAAAGCGUGGGGGGCAAACA
rnacentral:rRNA from 1 species